CAAUAAGCGGAGGAAAAGAAACCAACAGGGAUUGCCCCAGUAACGGCGAGUGAAGCGGCAACAGCUCAAAUUUGAAAUCUGGCCUCGGCCCGAGUUGUAAUUUGCAGAGGAUGCUUCGGGCGCGGCGCCUUCCAAGUCCCCUGGAACGGGGCGCCUUAGAGGGUGAGAGCCCCGUACGGUUGGACGCCAAGCCUGUGUGAAGCUCCUUCGACGAGUCGAGUAGUUUGGGAAUGCUGCUCUAAAUGGGAGGUAGACCCCUUCUAAAGCUAAAUACCGGCUAGAGACCGAUAGCGCACAAGUAGAGUGAUCGAAAGA
rnacentral:rRNA from 2 species